GACGAACCGUGCGAACGUUGUUCGGAUUCACUGGGCUUAAAGGGUGCGUAGGCGGGUCUUUAAGUCAGGGGUGAAAUCCUGGAGCUCAACUCCAGAACUGCCUUUGAUACUGAAGAUCUUGAGUUCGGGAGAGGUGAGUGGAACUGCGAGUGUAGAGGUGAAAUUCGUAGAUAUUCGCAAGAACACCAGUGGCGAAGGCGGCUCACUGGCCCGAUACUGACGCUGAGGCGCGAAAGCGUGGGGAGCAAACAGG
rnacentral:rRNA from 1 species